rnacentral:rRNA from 1 species
GAGUUUGAUUCUGGCUCAGAUUGAACGCUGGCGGCAUGCUUUACACAUGCAAGUCGAACGGCAGCACAGGGAGCUUGCUCCUGGGUGGCGAGUGGCGAACGGGUGAGUAAUGUAUCGGAACGUGCCUGGUAGUGGGGGAUAACUACUCGAAAGAGUGGCUAAUACCGCAUGAGAUCUUUGGAUGAAAGCGGGGGACCUUCGGGCCUCGUGCUACUGGAGCGGCCGAUAUCAGAUUAGGUUGUUGGUGGGGUAAAGGCCUACCAAGCCUGCGAUCUGUAGCUGGUCUGAGAGGACGACCAGCCACACUGGGACUGAGACACGGCCCAGACUCCUACGGGAGGCAGCAGUGGGGAAUUUUGGACAAUGGGCGCAAGCCUGAUCCAGCAAUGCCGCGUGCAGGACGAAGGCCUUCGGGUUGUAAACUGCUUUUGUACAGAACGAAAAGUCUCUGGCUAAUAUCUAGAGAUCAUGACGGNNCUAGA